rnacentral:rRNA from 2 species
UACCAGGUUUCCGUAGGUGAACCUGCGGAGGGAUCAUUA